rnacentral:rRNA from 1 species
GAUGAACGCUGGCGGCGUGCCUAAUACAUGCAAGUCGAGCGAACGGACGCGAAGCUUGCUUCUCUGAUGUUAGCGGCGGACGGGUGAGUAACACGUGGAUAACCUACCUAUAAGACUGGGAUAACUUCGGGAAACCGGAGCUAAUACCGGAUAAUAUUUUGAACCGCAUGGUUCAAAGGUGAAAGACGGUCUUGCUGUCACUUAUCGAUGGAUCUGCGCUGCAUUAGCUAGUUGGUAAGGUAACGGCUUACCAAGGCAACGAUGCAUAGCCGACCUGAGAGGGGGAUCGGCCACACGGGAACUGAGACGCGGACCAGACGCCUACGGGAGGCAGCAGUAGCGAAUCGGCCGCAAUGGGCGAAAGCCUGACGAAGCAACGCCGCGUGAGUGAUGAAGGUCUUCGGAGCGUAAAACUCGGUUAUUAGGGAAGAACAUAUGUGUAAGUAACUGAGCACAUCUUGACGGUACCUAAUCAGAAAGCAACGGCUAACUACGUG